AUGCAAGUAACAAUAUCAAUAUGCAUAGUUUGGAUAUCAAAAUAAGCAUAUGUAUCAGCUUAGGGAUUUGUACUAGUUGACAUCAGUGACUAAGCAUCCCAUCAAUCUCUAUGGUUUUCUGGCAGCCUGAUACUAGCCAUGGAGAUUGAAAUUAUAAAGAUAUUUUGAGAAACUAGUCCUUUGUCAUUCAGCCAAAAAAUCUUUGUCAGUUAUUAAUGUAUCUCCAUCAGUUUGUAGAUUAGUGCUAUUGAAGGGGUCAUGAACUGCAUUUUAUAUUAUUAUUUAAUUUAAUUUUCCUGAUGUGCACUUAUAAUGUUAGUAGGAUUUUCACAUCAAAUACGUUAUAAUUAAGUCAUCGUUUAAAAAUAAAAGGCCUCAUUUAAAUGGGUG